GAUCAUCAUCUUGCUCACAAUCCUGUGUGUUUGACCCUCUGCAAGGUCGAACAUUUGGGUGAGUUGGUCCGAACUCAGAGAAUUGUAGGACGAAGAGUAUGUGAGAAGGUAAGUCCUCAAAGCCUCCUCCUUGAUUUUCCCUUUUACCAUUUCCAGCACUUCAUCACGAUUCCUAAGUAGCUUCCAUACAUCUAGAGAUGCAAUGACAUCAAAAGCCUUCUGGAAAUCACCCUUGCGAAGGGCCCGAGUAGCAGCCAUUACAUGAUCUCUGACAUUCUCAGGAGGACCCGUAAACGUUUGUCUCUCACUCACCUCAAGUAACCGUCUAAAGUUCUUACUAAUAACCUUGCGCUUGGCAUCAUGAACAUUGCCUGCCAUGUUGGGUACUUCCAGCAGCAUAGCACAUAUUAAAUGCACAGCCUCCAGGAGCUCAAGAUUUAUGUGCAUGUGGUAUGGCAUCUGCCUUCUUCUUUCAAGCCUUUCCUGUUCUGGAGUCUUUUCAUGGUAUCGGCUUUGUGAGACACCUUGAGCGAGCAAUUCCUUCACCCUUCCACCAGAAUAUAAUUCUGAAAGACAGCCAGAACAGGAAAGGC
rnacentral:misc_RNA from 1 species